GAUGAACGCUGGCGGCGUGCCUAAUACAUGCAAGUCGAGCGAACGGACGAGAAGCUUGCUUUUCUGAUGUUAGCGGCGGACGGGUGAGUAACACGUGGAUAACCUACCUAUAAGACUGGGAUAACUUCGGGAAACCGGAGCUAAUACCGGAUAAUAUUUUGAACCGCAUGGUUCAAAAGUGAAAGACGGUCUUGCUGUCACUUAUAGCUGGAUCCGCGCUGCAUUAGCUAGUUGGUAGGGUAACGGCUUACCAAGGCAACGAUGCAUAGCCGACCUGAGAGGGUGAUCGGCCACACUGGAACUGAGACACGGUCCAGACUCCUACGGGAGGCAGCAGUAGGGAAUCUUCCGCAGUGGGCGAGAGCCUGACGGAGCAGCGCCGCGUGAGUGAUGAAGGUCUUCGGAUCGUAAAACUCUGUUAUUAGGGAAGAACAUAUGUGUAAGUAACUGUGCACAUCUUGACGGUACCUAAUCAGAAAGCCACGGCUAACUACGUG
rnacentral:rRNA from 1 species